rnacentral:lncRNA from 1 species
UAGAUAAAAAAAAUUGGUACAUACUGAGAUAUUAGUGUAACAAAGAAAACGAAACCAUAAGACAAAUGAGAUAAAAGAUUUGUUUAUAUACAUUAAGCUUAUAUAAAAACUAGUUCGCACACAAAAGAUUGAUUUUUUUUUUUAAAGAUUGAAAGAUAGAUGCUUAUAGCAUUUUAUUAAUAAUAAGUUGUUCAAUACAAUGAGGUACAUUGUAAUGAGUAGUGGGACUAACUAAUAAUGUGUCAACCCCAUCAAGGUGUGAGCUACCUCACGUCCUAUUUAAAAGGUUUUCCGAUUGGUACACAAUGGCCUUUACGACACUUAAUAUUAUGUGGAGGCAUUCUUGGACAAUCUUUAUCUGUUAAACAAGGACGAAGAGUCAUACCAAAAGCAUUAGAAUCACAUACUAUUAAGAUAUAAAAUAUGGAAAGAAAUAGAAUCAUAAUAUAAACAAAUUUUAGAGU